rnacentral:tRNA from 1 species
GCCUGGCUGGCUCAGUAGAUACAGCCUGUGACUCUUGAUUUUGAGGUCAUGAGUUCAAGUCCCAUGUUGGGUA